rnacentral:misc_RNA from 1 species
UUUUUGCGUUAGGGAUAGUAAUGAAAAUCCCACAGCCUGAGGAACGAAGUGCGAGGAAUUGAAAUGAUAGCCCGCUUGAAC